rnacentral:rRNA from 2 species
UACGGAGGGGGCUAGCGUUGUUCGGAAUUACUGGGCGUAAAGCGCACGUAGGCGGCUUUGUAAGUUAGAGGUGAAAGCCUGGAGCUCAACUCCAGAAUUGCCUUUGAUACUGCAUGGCUUGAAUCCGGGAGAGGUGAGUGGAAUUCCGAGUGUAGAGGUGAAAUUCGUAGAUAUUCGGAAGAACACCAGUGGCGAAGGCGGCUCACUGGACCGGCAUUGACGCUGAGGUGCGAAAGCGUGGGGAGCAAACAGG